ACGUAGGGUGCAAGCGUUGUCCGGAAUUAUUGGGCGUAAAGAGCUCGUAGGCGGUCUGUCACGUCGGAUGUGAAAACUCGGGGCUCAACCCCGAGCCUGCAUUCGAUACGGGCAGACUUGAGUUCGGCAGGGGAGACUGGAAUUCCUGGUGUAGCGGUGAAAUGCGCAGAUAUCAGGAGGAACACCGGUGGCGAAGGCGGGUCUCUGGGCCGAUACUGACGCUGAGGAGCGAAAGCGUGGGGAGCGAACAGGA
rnacentral:rRNA from 1 species